rnacentral:rRNA from 1 species
UCGAGAAUCUUCGGCAAUGGGCGCAAGCCUGACCGAGCGACGCCGCGUGGAGGACGAAGGCCUUCGGGUUGUAAACUCCUGUCGAGGGGGAGGAAGGGGCGCGAGCCCUUGACCGAUCCCUGGAGGAAGCACGGGCUAAGUUCGUGCCAGCAGCCGCGGUAAGACGAACCGUGCGAACGUUAUUCGGAAUCACUGGGCUUAAAGCGCGUGUAGGCGGGCCGGCACGUCCGUCGCUGAAAGCCCCCGGCUCAACCGGGGAAGUGGCGUGGAUACGACCGGCCUGGAGGGGGGUAGGGGGACCUGGAACUUCCGGUGGAGCGGUGAAAUGCGUUGAGAUCGGAAGGAACGCCCGUGGCGAAAGCGAGGUCCUGGACCCUUUCUGACGCUGAGACGCGAAAGCCAGGGGAGCGAACGG